rnacentral:pre_miRNA from 1 species
AGGAGGAACAGCCCCAGUGGCGGGGCCAGCUCUGGAAACCUGGAUUCAGCUCCGGCAGGAACUCCGUAUGCAGGGCCUGGAGGCUCUGGGGCGGG